UGCAAUGAUCGGUCCUAAUAUGAGUCAAAAGCAGAAAAUAUUACUAAUAAGUCUGUUAUUCUUUCAAAUUAAUUUAAUUUUUUGUUUUGAUUAUCAGCCGGACUGGCAAGAGUUCAAGUACAGAGGAGGUGAAUCUGUUCUUGAUUAUUCAAAAUAUUUGACUACACUGGGAAAACGCACAAUUAAAAUUUUUGAGGAAAAACAUGUAUCUGGAGGAAACUUGGACAUUCUUGAUCAGAGCAUUAAUAUAAAUGAAACAGUUCAAGGAUUCAACGCUGAAGGUUCAAUAAUUCUUUACGACGGUUUCGUGAGUAAAAUAGAAGCAAUUACCGAAAAGACUACAAUGCAUACUCAAAAGUUUGAUCAGCAAUCUUGUACUCUUGAGUCGCCGUUAUUUCUUCACAAUAUCAGUAUUGUCUAUGAUGUGCUGUUAAAUUUUAAAAAUUACGAGGGAAAUGCAGUGUUUGUUUUCUCGUUUGAUCAAAUUCAUCUGGCUUACCAGGUUUCGCAAAACUUGAAAACGAAAGAAAUAGCUACAAACAUGGAAUUAAAAGGUCUAAAUUGUAAAGGCUUUAAAACUAUAGCACAUCCAUAUGAUAAGCACGCUCAAAUGGGAGUAUUUGGGAUCGAAAACAGUGGCAACGCAAAAUUCUGUGAAAACAUCAAAAAAUCAAUGCAACAAUGGAAGUUACAUGAGUGUUUGCAAAAGGCAGUGAAUGAUAUUGGAUUUGCAAGAGUUUGUUAUUAUUGCUAGUGCAC